UACGAAGGGGGCUAGCGUUGCUCGGAAUCACUGGGCGUAAAGCGCACGUAGGCGGAUUGUUAAGUCAGGGGUGAAAUCCUGGAGCUCAACUCCAGAACUGCCUUUGAUACUGGCGAUCUCGAGUCCGGGAGAGGUGAGUGGAACUGCGAGUGUAGAGGUGAAAUUCGUAGAUAUUCGCAAGAACACCAGUGGCGAAGGCGGCUUACUGGACCGGUUCUGGACGCUGAGGCGCGAAAGCGUGGGGAGCAAACAGG
rnacentral:rRNA from 1 species